rnacentral:rRNA from 1 species
UACGUAGGGUGCAAGCGUUAAUCGGAAUUACUGGGCGUAAAGCGUGCGUAGGCGGUGUCUUAAGUUUGUUGUGAAAUCUCCCGGCUCAACUGGGAGGGUGCGGCGAAUACUGAGAUGCUGGAGUGCGGGAGAGGUAAGCGGAAUUCCUGGUGUAGCGGUGAAAUGCGUAGAUAUCAGGAGGAACACCUGCGGGUGUAGACGGCUUACUGGGA